UACGUAGGGGGCUAGCGCUGUCCGGAAUCAUUGGGCGUAAAGCGCGUGUAGGCGGUCCGGUAAGUCCGCUGUGAAAGUCGAGGGCUCAACCCUCGAAUGCCGGUGGAUACUGUCGGGCUUGAGUACGGGAGAGGCGAGUGGAAUUCCUGGUGUAGCGGUGAAAUGCGCAGAUAUCAGGAGGAACACCGAUUGCGAAGGCAGCUCGCUGGAACGUUACUGACGCUGAGACGCGAAAGCGUGGGGAGCAAACAGG
rnacentral:rRNA from 1 species